UUAUGUCUUGGCAUUCCUUGCGUUUUUUGUUUCGGUUUAAUUGUUGAAAAACUAUAACAAUUGAUUGGAUUUGGGUUUCGCUCAAUUUUUCUAUGUUAUGGUAAUGAAAUGAGCACCCUUGAGCAACUUCCGUGUUACCGGCUGCCAGAUGGAUUGGACCCAGUUGUCAGCCAAUCAUCUAGCCAGCCAGCCAGCCAACCAAAUAACGAUGAUGAUGAAAGUGAAUAGAUAAACCAAACGGCACGUAAAUGGUUUGCAAAAGAGAAGCGGUAAAUGAUAAAUAUCGAGUCCAUGAGUUUUUGAAGGGGAAUUUCGAUUGCAAAAUUAAGCAGUUUGGUGGCGCUUUUAAAAUGAUGAUGAAAUUUAAAAUCAUUUAUCGGAUUAGUUUCGAUUUCGUUAGAAUCCAAACACAAUAGGCCAAAACAAAACAGCAGAAGAAAAAAAUGGAGAAAGUAAGAAACAUGUUUGAAAGAAAGGCAUACAAAAAGAAAGUGGGAGAUGUAACAAAAAGAACUAUAGAUAAAAGAGAAGCGGAGGGUCAGUAGCAAAAAAAUAAAGGGAAAUACCUAAGAAGUCAAGAAUAAUUAAUUAAUAAAGUGAAAGUAAAAAUACAAAAGAAUCUUGGGUGAGAAAAAUAAUGAUUUUCAUAGAACAUGACAAAUAAGAGACCAAUUAUAAUCUUAUUAUCUAUGAAAAGAGAGCUUAAGUCAUUCUAAUCAAAAUUUUAGUACAAUAUAUUUCGAAAUAAAAGAAAUAAAAGCGAAAACUGAUCGAUAAAACCCAA